CUUUAAUACAUAAGUAUGCAAGGGNAACGCUUUAGUGCUUAAGGNNGGGUCUGUAUGGUAUCAGCUUGUUGGUGAGGUAAUGGCUCACCAAGGCUAUGACGCCUAACUGGUUUGAGAGGAUGAUCAGUCACACUGGAACUGAGACACGGUCCAGACUCCUACGGGAGGCAGCAGUGGGGAAUAUUGCACAAUGGACGAAAGUCUGAUGCAGCAACGCCGCGUGGAGGAUGACACAUUUCGGUGCGUAAACUCCUUUUAUAUAGGAAGAUAAUGACGGUACUAUAUGAAUAAGCACCGGCUAACUCCGUGC
rnacentral:rRNA from 1 species